AAAACGGAGAGUUUGAUCCUGGCUCAGGAUGAACGCUGGCGGUAUGCUUAACACAUGCAAGUCGAACGGGAUGCUUAGGCAUCUAGUGGCGGACGGGUGAGUAACGCGUGAGAAUCUGGCUCCAGGUCGGGGAUAACAGUUGGAAACGACUGCUAAUACCGGAUGUGCCGAGAGGUGAAAGAUUUAUCGCCUGGAGAUGAGCUCGCGUCUGAUUAGCUAGUUGGCGGUGUAAGGGACCACCAAGGCGUCGAUCAGUAGCUGGUCUGAGAGGAUGAUCAGCCACACUGGGACUGAGACACGGCCCAGACUCCUACGGGAGGCAGCAGUGGGGAAUUUUCCGCAAUGGGCGAAAGCCUGACGGAGCAAUACCGCGUGAGGGAGGAAGGCUCUUGGGUCGUAAACCUCUUUUCUCAAGGAAGAAGAAAGUGACGGUACUUGAGGAAUAAGCAUCGGCUAACUCCGUGCCAGCAGCCGCGGUAAUACGGAGGAUGCAAGCGUUAUCCGGAAUGAUUGGGCGUAAAGGGUCUGCAGGUGGAACUGAAAGUCUGCUGUUAAAGAGUUUGGCUUAACCAAAUAAAAGCGGUGGAAACUACAGAACUAGAGUGCGGUAGGGGCAAAAGGAAUUCCUGGUGUAGCGGUGAAAUGCGUAGAUAUCAGGAAGAACACCGGUGGCGAAAGCGUUUUGCUAGACCGUAACUGACACUGAGGGACGAAAGCUAGGGGAGCGAAUGGGAUUAGAUACCCCAGUAGUCCUAGCCGUAAACGAUGGAUACUAGGCGUGGCUUGUAUCGACCCGAGCCGUGCCGGAGCUAACGCGUUAAGUAUCCCGCCUGGGGAGUACGCACGCAAGUGUGAAACUCAAAGGAAUUGACGGGGGCCCGCACAAGCGGUGGAGUAUGUGGUUUAAUUCGAUGCAACGCGAAGAACCUUACCAAGACUUGACAUCCUGCGAAUCCCGGUGAAAGCUGGGAGUGCCUUAGGGAGCGCAGAGACAGGUGGUGCAUGGCUGUCGUCAGCUCGUGUCGUGAGAUGUUGGGUUAAGUCCCGCAACGAGCGCAACCCUCGUUUUUAGUUGCCAGCAUUAAGUUGGGCACUCUAGAGAGACUGCCGGUGACAAACCGGAGGAAGGUGGGGAUGACGUCAAGUCAGCAUGCCCCUUACGUCUUGGGCUACACACGUACUACAAUGCUACGGACAGAGGGCAGCGAGCCAGGGAUGGCAAGCGAAUCCAGAAACCGUAGCUCAGUUCAGAUCGAAGGCUGCAACUCGCCUUCGUGAAGGAGGAAUCGCUAGUAAUUGCAGGUCAGCAUACUGCAGUGAAUUCGUUCCCGGGCCUUGUACACACCGCCCGUCACACCAUGGAAGUUGGUCACGCCCGAAGUCAUUACCCCAACCGAAAGGAGGGGGAUGCCUAAGGUAGGACUGGUGACUGGGGUGAAGUCGUAACAAGGUAGCCGUACCGGAAGGUGUGGCUGGAUCACCUCCUUUU
rnacentral:rRNA from 1 species